GCUAUAAUCCUUGCUGCUGUGGGAAGCUGAAGCUAGUGGAUCACUCCAGCUUAGGAAUUCUGAACUGCAAUAGGCUAAAGGCAGAUUGAGUGUCUGCACAAUGCCUGGUACCAACAUGGUGAGCCCCCAGGAAUGGAGGGCCACCAAGCUGCCUAAAGAGGAACAAAUUGGCCCAGGUGGGAAAAAUUAAGUAGGUGAAGGCUUUCCUUUGAUUCAGUAGGCCUGUGAGUAGUGCUGCACUUCAAGCCUGGGCAAGAUAGGGAGACCCAGUCC
rnacentral:SRP_RNA from 1 species